GGGGGAUGCCACACAGUUUAAUGAGAGCUAGGCAGAUACUCUCCUCCAAUAGGAUGAAAUGUCCCAGGGUCAAGUAGAUGGAACAUACCUUUACAGGAGAAGCUGGGUUAAUAAAAACUAAUUGUCAGAAGACUGGAUAGACACCCAGCACUGGAAUGGAAGAUUAUGGCAGAGAAGGAUCGACCUGAGCUGGGAUGAAGUUGAGCCUUCCAAGCAUCUUCCCAAACUUUGGUUGGGUGGUGAAGAGGUUCUGGCAAUAGACUCCCAUGGUUUCACGUGAUUGUAAAACUUGUAAAAGUUUUGGGACCUGGAACUGCGAGGUUCACAGCCUACCUAUAUGGAGAUUGCUAGAGGAGACCCAGCAUAAGAAAACUGAAUACAGAAUACCAUAAACCACAGGCAUCCAAAUCUUUACUCAAUGGGAAGGAGAAAACUUCCUCAGGAGGCAGUGGACUUGCUUCACGUUGACUGGUGAGGGCAGCAGAGGGCUAUCAAGUGAACAUAGUUUAGAAUGUGGCCUAUGAGACCAUCAAAGCAACUUGGGCUUUCAGACUUUUACCAGGACCAACUCUAUUGACCUUCACUCAUCCCUUCUUAGUCCUCUGGUCUUGAACUGAGUGAUGUCAUCGACUUUCCAGGGCUUCAUCUCACAGAUACUGAUGGAACUGACUGAAGAAUUUUCAGCCUCUAUCAUCUCAGGAGGAGGGAAGCAGAUCUCUCAAUUGCAAAAACACACUGGAAUUUCAAUAAGUGAAAUAAUAAUUUCAAUUUCAACUGGCAACUGCUCCAAGUCUUUUUGGACUAACUGCUUAUCAUCUGGAUUUCAUGGAUCAGAUAUUAGAAGGAGCCUGAAUUACAAGUUUUGGUGAAAAGGAAAGAACUAAAUGCAUAACAUUUUUUUUUUGCUCCUUUAUAUUUUUGAAUCAUUUUUUCUAAUUCUUUUUAAAAAUUUUUAUUGGUUAUUUUAUUUAUUUACAUUUCAAAUGUUAUCCCCCUUCCUGUUUCCCCCUCUGCAAAUUUUAUCUUCCAGCAGAUUGUUUAUGCCCACAGAGUGAGAUGUCCUGUAACUUAUGCUGCCAUUACUGCUGGGGCCUCCUUGUGGCUACCAUUGUUGAUUUAAAAUCUUAAAAACAAAAACUAUAGCACGAGAAAAUAUGAAAUAAAAUGGACAUUUAGUG